rnacentral:rRNA from 1 species
GUCCUUUUGAUUANUAANUUUAAGGUCUAGUCUGCCCAAUGNANNAUUANUUUAAUGGCUGCGGNNUAUUUUGACUGUACGAAGGUAGCAUAAUAAUUAGUUUUUUAAUUGAAAGCUGGUAUGAAUGGCUGAACGAGAAAAUUACUGUCUCAAAUUNAAANUUUUUAGAAUUUUAUUUUUAAGUUAAAAAGCUUAAAUAUUUUUAAAAGACGAGAAGACCCUAUAGAGUUUNUAUAAUUAAUUUANAUUNNUUNAUNUUUUAGNAAAGNUNNNUAAUAAUUNAAAUUAAUUAUUUUAUUGGGGUGAUAAAUAUAUUUAAUAAACUUUAUUNUAAUNUUUGUACAUUAAUUUAUGAAUUAUUGAUCCAUUAUUNUAUGAUUAUCAGAUUAAAUUACCUUAGGGAUAACAGCGUAAUCUUUUUAAAGAGUUCUUAUCGAAAAGAAGGAUUGCGACCUCGAUGUUGGAUUAAAAUUAAUAUUUGGUGUAGAAGCUNAANAUUAUUAGGUCUGUUCGACCUUUAAAAUUUUACAUGAUCUGAGUUUAAACCGGUAUGAGCCAGGUUGGUUUCUAUCUUUAAAUANAAUUAAUUGUUUUAGUACGAAAGGACCAAUCAAUUAUAAUAUUUAUNNUAAUUNUNUUGAAUUUGAUUNNGUUAUUUUGGCAGAGUAGUGCUUUAAAUUUAGAAUUUNAAAUAUGUAANNNNNAUUUUUACAAAUAAUACUUGUUUUANUUUGGAUUUGUUACUAUCUUUAGUAAGAAGGUUGAUUAUAAUUAUUUGUGUUUUAGUAGGGGUUGCAUUUUUAACUUUACUUGAACGUAAAGUUUU